rnacentral:sRNA from 1 species
GGAGCCUAGCGGCUCUCCCCGCGUCCAAGAUGGCGGCAGAAGCAGCUGGUGGGAAAUACAGAAGCACAGUCAGCAAAAGCAAAGACCCCUCGGGGCUGCUCAUCUCUGUGAUCAGGACUCUGUCUACUAGUGACGAUGUUGAAGACAGAGAAAAUGAAAAGGGUCGCCUUGAAGAAGCCUACGAGAAAUGUGACCGUGACCUGGAUGAAUUGAUUGUGCAGCACUACACAGAACUGACGACAGCCAUUCGCACAUACCAGAGCAUCACAGAGCGCAUCACUAACUCCCGAAAUAAAAUAAAGCAGGUAAAAGAGAACCUACUUUCAUGUAAGAUGCUGCUGCACUGCAAACGGGAUGAGCUUCGGAAACUAUGGAUUGAAGGAAUUGAGCAUAAACAUGUCCUGAACUUGUUGGAUGAAAUUGAGAAUAUCAAGCAAGUGCCUCAAAAGCUGGAACAGUGCAUGGCCAGCAAGCACUAUCUCAGUGCCACUGACAUGCUGGUGUCAGCAGUUGAGUCUUUGGAGGGCCCCCUGCUCCAGGUGGAAGGACUGAGUGACCUUCGACUAGAGCUUCACAGCAAGAAGAUGAACCUCCACUUGGUUCUGAUAGAUGAACUACACCGGCACCUGUACAUCAAAUCGACUAGCCGAGUUGUGCAGCGUAACAAGGAAAAAGGGAAAAUCAGCUCCCUUGUGAAAGAUGCUUCUGUUCCUCUGAUUGAUGUUACAAACCUCCCUACUCCUCGAAAAUUCCUUGAUACGUCUCACUAUUCUACUGCUGGAAGCUCAAGUGUGAGGGAGAUAAAUCUGCAGGACAUCAAGGAAGAUUUAGAAUUGGAUCCAGAGGAAAACAGCACCCUGUUUAUGGGUAUCCUCAUUAAGGGCUUGGCCAAACUGAAGAAGAUCCCAGAGACAGUUAAGGCAAUCAUAGAGCGCUUGGAGCAGGAGCUGAAGCAAAUUGUGAAGAGGUCUACAACCCAGGUGGCAGACAGUGGCUAUCAGCGUGGGGAGAACGUUACUGUGGAGAACCAACCAAGGUUGCUUCUAGAACUGCUGGAGUUACUGUUUGACAAGUUUAAUGCUGUAGCCACUGCACACUCUGUGGUCCUGGGAUACCUGCAGGACACUGUAGUGACUCCAUUGACUCAGCAGGAAGAUAUCAAACUGUAUGAUAUGGCAGAUGUAUGGGUGAAGAUCCAAGAUGUUCUACAGAUGCUGUUAACUGAGUACUUGGAUAUGAAAAAUACUCGUACGGCCUCUGAACCAUCAGCUCAACUAAGCUAUGCCAGCACUGGACGAGAGUUUGCAGCCUUUUUUGCCAAGAAGAAACCUCAAAGGCCAAAAAAUUCUCUUUUCAAGUUCGAAUCGUCCUCCCAUGCCAUCAGUAUGAGCGCCUAUCUGCGAGAACAGAGAAGGGAGCUCUAUAGUCGGAGUGGAGAACUGCAAGGGGGUCCUGAUGACAACUUAAUUGAAGGUGGAGGAACAAAAUUUGUCUGCAAACCUGGAGCCAGAAAUAUUACUGUCAUAUUCCACCCAUUACUAAGGUAAGUCAAGUGCUAUUAUGUACUUACUGAAGAUCAAUAUUUUCAUUAUUUAUGCUG